rnacentral:rRNA from 1 species
AUAUUGGACAAUGGGGGGAACCCUGAUCUAGCGACGCCGCGUGAGUGAAGAAGUAUCUCGGUAUGUAAAGCUCUAUCAGCAGGGAAGUAGAAAUGACGGUACAUGAGUAAGAAGCCCCGGCUAACUACGUGCCAGCAGCCGCGGUAAUACGUAGGGGGCAAGCGUUAUCCGGAAUUACUGGGCGUAAAGGGAGCGUAGACGGUGAUGUAAGUCUGGAGUGAAAGGCGGGGGCCCAACCCCCGGACUGCUCUGGAAACUAUGUGACUGGAGUGCAGGAGAGGUGAGCGGAAUUCCUAGUGUAGCGGUGAAAGGCGUAGAUAUUAGGAGGAACACCAGUGGCGAAGGCGGCUCACUGGACUGUAACUGACGUGGAGGCUCGAAAGCGUGGGGAGCAAACAG